AUUGAACGCUGGCGGCAUGCUUUACACAUGCAAGUCGAACGGCAGCGCGGGCUUCGGCCUGGCGGCGAGUGGCGAACGGGUGAGUAAUACAUCGGAACGUGCCCAGUAGUGGGGGAUAGCUCGGCGAAAGCCGGAUUAAUACCGCAUACGACCUGAGGGUGAAAGCGGGGGAUCUUCGGACCUCGCGCUAUUGGAGCGGCCGAUGGCAGAUUAGCUAGUUGGUGGGGUAAAGGCCUACCAAGGCGACGAUCUGUAGCUGGUCUGAGAGGACGACCAGCCACACUGGGACUGAGACACGGCCCAGACUCCUACGGGAGGCAGCAGUGGGGAAUUUUGGACAAUGGGCGAAAGCCUGAUCCAGCAAUGCCGCGUGUGCGAUGAAGGCCUUCGGGUUGUAAAGCACUUUUGGCGGGAACGAAAAGGACUGUGCCAAUACCACGGUUCGAUGACGGUACCCGCAGAAUAAGCACCGGCUAACUACGUG
rnacentral:rRNA from 1 species